UACGGAGGGGGCUAGCGUUGUUCGGAAUUACUGGGCGUAAGGCGCGCGUAGGCGGACCUGCAAGUCGGGGGUGAAAGCCCGAGGCUCAACCUCGGAACUGCCUUCGAUACUGCGGGUCUCGAGUCCGGGAGAGGUGAGUGGAAUUCCUAGUGUAGAGGUGAAAUUCGUAGAUAUUAGGAAGAACACCAGUGGCGAAGGCGGCUCACUGGCCCGGUACUGACGCUGAGGCGCGAAAGCGUGGGGAGCAAACAGG
rnacentral:rRNA from 1 species